AUUGAACGCUGGCGGCAGGCUUUACACAUGCAAGUCGGACGGCAGCACAGAGAGGCUUGCUUCUUGGGUGGCGAGUGGCGAACGGGGGAGUAAUAUAUCGGAACGUACCGAGUAAUGGGGGAUAACUAAUCGAAAGAUUAGCUAAUACCGCAUAUUCUCUGAGGAGGAAAGCAGGGGACCUUCGGGCCUUUCGUUCUUCGAGCGGCCGAUAUCUGAUUAGCUAGUUGGGGGGGUAAAGGCCUACCAAGGCGACGAUCAGUAGCGGGUCUGAGAGGAUGAUCCGCCACACUGGAACUGAGACACGGCCCAGACUCCUACGGGAGGCAGCAGUGGGGAAUUUUGGACAAUGGGCGCAAGCCUGAUCCAGCCAUGCCGCGUGUCUGAAGAAGGCCUUCGGGUUGUAAAGGACUUUUGUCAGGGAAGAAAAGGCUGUUGCUAAUACCGACAGCUGAUGACGGUACCUGAAGAAUAAGCACCGGCUAACUACGUG
rnacentral:rRNA from 1 species